CACUCCGGUGGCCUAGUGGUUAGAGCGUCCGCCUCGGAUGCGGGAGGUCGUGGGUUCGAUCCCCGGUCGAGUCA